rnacentral:rRNA from 1 species
AUUGAACGCUGGCGGCAGGCCUAACACAUGCAAGUCGAACGGCAGCACAGAAGAGCUUGCUCUUUGGGUGGCGAGUGGCGGACGGGUGAGUAAUGUCUGGAAACUGCCCGAUGGAGGGGGAUAACUACUGGAAACGGUAGCUAAUACCGCAUAACGUCGCAAGACCAAAGUGGGGGACCUUCGGGCCUCACACCAUCGGAUGUGCCCAGAUGGGAUUAGCUAGUAGGUGGGGUAAUGGCUCACCUAGGCGACGAUCCCUAGCUGGUCUGAGAGGAUGACCAGCCACACUGGAACUGAGACACGGUCCAGACUCCUACGGGAGGCAGCAGUGGGGAAUAUUGCACAAUGGGCGCAAGCCUGAUGCAGCCAUGCCGCGUGUAUGAAGAAGGCCUUCGGGUUGUAAAGUACUUUCAGCGGGGAGGAAGGCGGUGAGGUUAAUAACCUCGCCGAUUGACGUUACCCGCAGAAGAAGCACCGGCUAACUCCGUGCCAGCCGCCGCAGUAA